rnacentral:rRNA from 1 species
GGCUCAGAUUGAACGCUGGCGGCAGGCCUAACACAUGCAAGUCGAGCGGUAGAGAGAAGCUUGCUUCUCUUGAGAGCGGCGGACGGGUGAGUAAUGCCUAGGAAUCUGCCUGGUAGUGGGGGAUAACGUUCGGAAACGGACGCUAAUACCGCAUACGUCCUACGGGAGAAAGCAGGGGACCUUCGGGCCUUGCGCUAUCAGAUGAGCCUAGGUCGGAUUAGCUAGUUGGUGAGGUAAUGGCUCACCAAGGCGACGAUCCGUAACUGGUCUGAGAGGAUGAUCAGUCACACUGGAACUGAGACACGGUCCAGACUCCUACGGGAGGCAGCAGUGGGGAAUAUUGGACAAUGGGCGAAAGCCUGAUCCAGCCAUGCCGCGUGUGUGAAGAAGGUCUUCGGAUUGUAAAGCACUUUAAGUUGGGAGGAAGGGUAGUAACCUAAUACGUUGCUACUUUGACGUUACCGACAGAAUAAGCACCGGCUAACUUCGUG